rnacentral:lncRNA from 8 species
AUCCACUUAACAAUUCAAACAAAGUAACAACAGCUACAGUUCUGCAGGCUAGAAACGCAGUGCAAAAAACAACCACCCACAACCCCAAAGAAAAACACACACACCUAUAUAGGACUUCCAAUCAAAGGCAACUAUACACACCUGCCUUCAAUUGGAAGUCCCAAUCAUCCACCCAACAUUUAACCAACACAAACAUGCCACGUCCUGACCCAACUACACCCUCUACUGGUCAGGACGUGACAUGCCCAUUGAAUAAUCCCCUGUAGUGUAGCCCUGUGUAUCACAUUGUUCUGACGGGACUCCUGUACAGGUGCACUGGUGGUGCAGAUAAUGAUGCAAAUAUAAUGGAGCUCAUUGGAGACUGUGAUUGGUCAGAGGUAGGCCAGGGUGUGGCUUACCUGCCUGCUGCUUCCUGGAGUCCCCAAGGGCUCACCUGGUGUCACUUGCCCCAGAGCAGAGAUCGGUGACUGGAGGGAAGCUGACUGCACAUUAGACCACAGCCAUGACAGAGCGACAAGACACGCCUCUGGGGGCGCUACCGCUGCAGAGACGAUGCCAACGAUGCGGGGAUGUACUGGAGUGUUCACGGGAGCAAAGUGCUCUGUUGGCCUGCCGUUGCUACUCUCAGCUGGACGAGGCCGUGGAGAGUGUGGCUGAAGGCCGAGGCCGGGGUGCUAGCAGAGGGGACAAGGAGAGGGGCCACUGGGCAGCAGGACGAGUGGGGGACAUUGACUUCACUGGCACCAGUAGGACAAGGGGAAAGGUAACACUUACAACCACAAGGCAACAAUGUUACAACCACAAGGUGCUAUAACCACAAGGCAACCCUGCUACAACCACAAGGUAACACUGUUACAACCACAAGGUGCUAUAACCACAAGGCAACACUGUUACAACCACAAGGUGCUAUAACCACAAGGCAACACUGUUACAACCACAAGGUGCUGUAACCACAAGGCAACACUGCUACAACCACAAGGUAACACUGUUACAACCACAAGGUAACACUGUUACAACCAUAAGGCAACACUGUUACAACCACAAGGCAACACUGUUACAACCACAAGGUGCUGUAACCACAAGGCAACACUGCUACAACCACAAGGUAACACUGUUACAACCACAAGGUGCUAUAACCAGAUGGUAACACUGUUACAACCACAAGGUGAUAUAACCACAAGGUGCUAUAACCACAAGGUGCUAUAACCAGAUGGCAAC